UACGUAGGUGGCAAGCGUUAUCCGGAAUUAUUGGGCGUAAAGCGCGCGCAGGCGGUUUCUUAAGUCUGAUGUGAAAGCCCACGGCUCAACCGUGGAGGGUCAUUGGAAACUGGGGAACUUGAGUGCAGAAGAGAAAAGCGGAAUUCCAAGUGUAGCGGUGAAAUGCGUAGAGAUUUGGAGGAACACCAGUGGCGAAGGCGACUUUCUGGUCUGUAACUGACACUGAGGCGCGAAAGCGUGGGGAGCAAACAGG
rnacentral:rRNA from 1 species